CCGCACGUAGCGCACGUGUUCGGCUGGGGGCGCCUCGCGGCCCCCUGCUGGUCCAGUGCACGAGGGGGCCUUCGGGGAGCCUUUGCCUCGCACCCUCCCGGGGCUGCGGCACCCCUCGCACCCCCUCCACCUUUGCAAAGGAUUGCAAAGCCUUCCUCUGAAGCCACUGCUACUUUCCAGAUUGCCUUCUCCCAUGUUGAGUCCAGCCUGAACUCGGAGAUUUAUAAUUUCGCAUGAAAACGCAUCUUGUUAGAGCAGGCUGAAACGCUAAAGGAAUCCAAGUCGCUCCCUUUCCACCCAGAUCCCACAGAUACAUGUACACUGGUGGUAUGUACCAGUUAGUUGUUCAGACACACAGAAGUAUGCCUGGUGCUGUCACCCGAAAAUGUGCAUGACUUGUAGACCAUUUUCCCUGCUGAUGUGCAGACCACGCAUUUCCAGAAGGUGCCUCCAUCUGCGCAAAUCAUUCUCUACAUCUGCUUUCUUCGAUCAGGACUCCAUCAUAGUGAACAUCAUUCACCAGGAGGCAUCCUUCUGAAUGUCCCUGUGUAUGUAUUCAGGACUAGCUCAAAGAAGAACAGGCUCAACACAGAUGAGAAUUGUACAAAGGAUCCUAGAGUCCAGCACAAAAAAGCCUUGUCUACAGAAUAUCUGGUAAAGAAAUUCAGGUGACUUACUGCAGAAGCUAUGACAAGAAAGAACUAAAAGCAAUCACUGCAAAGGUCUAAAAUGAGAGGAGGAAACAAAUGUGAGACUGAGAUGGGACACUCAAUGAGUGUCCCCUGGGAUAGGAAAAUAAAGGGAGGCCAGCAUGGAGAUGGAGCGGUACAAAGGGCCAAUGCCUUGCAGGGUGGACCACCCAUUUUUACAUUUUCACCAACUUAUAGAGUCUAGCUCCUCCAAGAAGCCAAAAAUAACUGCUCACGUCUUUCCCAAAAGAUCUCAGACUGGCCAAACCCCCUUCUCAAAAAAACCCCCAAAAACCAAACCCCAACCCUACUCCUAA